GCCUGCCUAGCUCAAUUGGAUAGAGCGUCAGACUCUUAUCAGGCAGAGUCACUUGGAAUCUGAAGGCUGCGAGUUCGACCCUCGCGGUGGGCU